CGCCAGACUCCUACGGGAGGCAGCAGUGGGGAAUAUUGCGCAAUUGACGAAAGUCUGACGCAUCUACGCCGCGUGAGGGAUGAAGGUUUUCGGAUCGUAAACCUCUGUCAGGAGGGAAGAAAGCGCAUGGCGCCAAUCAGCCAUGCGUUGACGGUACCUCCAAAGGAAGCGCCUGCUAACUCCGUGCCAGCAGCCGCGGUAAUACGGAGGGCGCGAGCGUUAAUCGGAAUUACUGGGCGUAAAGCGCGCGUAGGCUGUUGUGUAAGUUGGGGGUGAAAUACCACGGCUCAACCGUGGAACAGCCCUUGAUACUGCGCGACUUGAAUACGGGAGAGGGUGGAGGAAUUCCAGGUGUAGGAGUGAAAUAAGUAGAUAUCUGGAGGAAAAUCAGUGGAGAAGGAGGCCACCUGGACAGGUAUUGAAGAUGAGGCGCGAAAGAGUGGGGAGCAAAAAGGAUUAGAUACCCGCGUAG
rnacentral:rRNA from 1 species